UAAGGGAACAGCAAUCCAUGACUCUCUUCCUCAUUGAUCAUUAACCAAACAGUUACCAAACCGAAUCGAAGCAACAUCAGAGUUUCAACAACAACGAGAGAAAAAAAAUCGCAGUAAAACAAACACCUGAAUCAACAAGGGAAGAAGCUUCUGGAAAGCCUGUGAUUUGACUGGUGACACAUUAACCGUGACAAAUCGUAUUCAGACUGCUCUGUAAUGUAGAAGAACUUCCCUAAAGGUCUGACAGAGGAAAUAAAAGCCAGUAAAAUCAACAAAAUAGCUGCUCAGGCAGUGGGGAGACCACACUAUAAUGAUCUGGAAUGCCGUCCCGCUGCUGGAACUAGCCUAUCCCUUUGAAGUAACUGAUCAAAUACUUUCUAUGAGAACCUGGGUAUAACUGCAUGUUUCUUGAAACUUCAGAAGUUCAUUACAGCUGCAGCAGUGGAGGAGCCAGGUUCAGGUACAGGUGGCUUGAGGCGUAGAAAAUCUGGAAGUACAAGAUCUUCUUUGUUCAGAAGCCCACGCUGGUCAUUCACUCUAUUACUCUGAGCUUUUGAUAGAAGGUCAAAAAACUCUGCCACAACAGAAAAUAGGAAAAUGAAAGCUAAUAAGGUGCAGCCGUGCUGAAGAAGGUUCUCCAUCCACGUCAACUUUGCUGAUCUCAAAACACCAGAUCCAAACUUCAGCACUGGCAGACUUUAAGAGGAAGAUCACCUGUUUAUUGUUCAAGUUGUCAAUUAUUAUUUAGAUUAAAAAUUUGAUUACAGUAUAGAAGUAGGGGAAACAUUUCAGAAAGUCAACACGCAUGAAUGGCGUGCGUACACCUGCAAAACUGUUAGGAACAGAUUUCCAGGAGUUUGAAACAACAACACUGAAGGAAUGGCAAUAUACUUCCAAGUCUAAUGGAGAAUUGUUUGGAUGGAACUUACAGAAAAUCGUUUGCCAAUGUUUUUCUGAUCAUGUACUUCAAGGUGGUAGAGGUCAUGUGUUUGAAAGGAGCUGUCUAAAGAUCUUUAGUGAGUUGCUGUAGUACAUCUGGGAGAUAAUACCCAUUGCUCCACUGUGCAUUGAUGGUGAAGGUUAAUGAAUGAUGAAUGUGUUUUCUGGGGUGCCAAUCAAAAGGGCUUUAUCUUCGAUGGUGUUAAACCUCUUUAUUGUAGUUGGAGCUACACUCACACAGGCAAAUGAACAGUUACUCUUAAUUGUGCUUUAUAGAUGGUGGCCAACUUUUAAGAAGACAGAAAGUGAGUUGCUCAACAUGGAUUUUCCAGCUUCUCACCUGAUCUUAUAGCCACAGCAUUUACAUAGUUGGUCCAACUCAGUUUCUGAUCAAUGGUGAUGGUGGGAGACUCAGCAAUGACAAUGCAAUUGAAUGUUAUGGGGUGAUGAUUGAAUUAUCCCUUGUCGGACAGAGUCAUUGUCUCACACCUAUUAUUUGCAACUUAUUAGCCCAAGGCUGCAGGUCUUGCUGCAGUUGGGAUGGACUGCUUCAGUAACUGAGGAACCACAUCAUCUUAUGUUAUUUUGAACCACAUGUUGGAGGGAAGUUCAGUGAUGAAGCAGUUUAAGAUGAUUGGGCCUACAAGCCUAACCUGAGGAACUCCUGCAACAUUGUACACCAGCUAAUUGUUGUCUAACAACCAGAACCAUCUUCCUUUGUGCUGGGUGUGACUCUGACCAGUGGAGAGUUUGCCUCCUGACUGCCAGUGACUCCGGAUUUGCUCGAGCUCCUUGAUGCCAGGAUUGGUCAAGUGCUGCCUUGAUGUCAUGAGCAUAAAUCGUCCAGAUGGGGUUUUACAACAACUGGCAAUGGUUUUGUGGUCACCAUUAGGCUAGCUUUUAAAUCCAGGUUCAGUUAGUUGAAUUGAAAUUCAAGCAUAUCCUGUCGUAUGAUUUGAACUCACAUCCCCAGAACAUUUGCCUGGGACUGUCAUUACUACUCCAGUAAUUAUACCACUAUCGAUGUCACCACCACCCAACAACUACAGAUGUAAACUCUGUCCUUUCAAGUUUAAGGCUGUUUUUCAUAGAGUAUUUCAAAUUGUAGCUCACCAAUGGUAGAAUUUACCUUCUACUUCAUCCACGUUUAGCUUUGGCUGUCUCUUUCUGUUUGUCGUUUGCACUACAUCAUUUUUUGAAGGCCGCACAUCUUUGGAAUAUUUUCCAUUUCCUCUGACUGAAAAGGCUUUUUCCGCAGGUCUUCCAUCUUCCUGUUAUUUGUAAAAUUGGUGAGAGAGAUAGAUUAUUGUGUUCCUAAAAACAUCAGAUGUAUUAAACUAUUUGAAGGCACUAUCUAGUGACAGGGGUCAAAAUUAAACAGAGAUGAAGCAAGUGAGUUACUUAGUAGACAGCUAAUCCUGAUAGUGAAACCGAUGAGUAUGAGUGAAGGAUAUGGUCAUGUUGUACCGAAAACGUCAGCAAAACAUGUUGAUAUAUUCAGUGGAUUCAGGGGCCACCAGUGAAAUAUUUUCCCAUAUUUUGCUACCACUUUCCUACCCUUAUUUUCUGCAAAUAUUGAUAGCGGAACAAUAUCACAAAAACAUCUCAAAAGACAGAAUUUUACCUUCACACCAUGGUGUGUGCUAAUGUUGGAAGAGCCUGAUUUCCCUCCUGUAAUCUUCUCUCUGUCUGAAAGUAAACAAUGUAAUUCCACAAAUUAAA